rnacentral:rRNA from 1 species
GUGGGGAAUAUUGGACAAUGGGCGAAAGCCUGAUCCAGCCAUGCCGCGUGUGUGAAGAAGGUCUUCGGAUUGUAAAGCACUUUAAGUUGGGAGGAAGGGCAGUAAGUUAAUACCUUGCUGUUUUGACGUUACCGACAGAAUAAGCACCGGCUAACUUCGUGCCAGCAGCCGCGGUAAUACGAAGGGUGCAAGCGUUAAUCGGAAUUACUGGGCGUAAAGCGCGCGUAGGUGGUUUUGUAAGUUGGAGGUGAAAUCCCCGGGCUCAACCUGGGAACUGCCUCCAAAACUGCAUGACUAGAGUACGGUAGAGGGUAGUGGAAUUUCCUGUGUAGCGGUGAAAUGCGUAGAUAUAGGAAGGAACACCAGUGGCGAAGGCGACUACCUGGACUGAUACGGACACUGAGGUGCGAAAGCGUGGGGAGCAAACAGGAUUAGAUACCCGAGUAGUCC